CCUACGGGUGGCAGCAGUGGGGAAUAUUGCACAAUGGGCGAAACCCUGAUGCAGCGACGCCGCGUGAGUGAAGAAGUAUUUCGGUAUGUAAAGCUCUAUCAGCAGGGAAGAAACCCACCCUCCGGGGUGGCUGACGGUACCUGACUAAGAAGCCCCGGCUAACUACGUGCCAGCAACCGCGGUAAUACGUAGGGGGCAAGCGUUAUCCGGAUUUACUGGGGGUAAAGGGAUCGUAGGUGGCAAGGCAAGUCAGAUGUUAAAACCCGGGGACCAACCCCGGGAGUGCAUUUGAAACUGUCUGGCUAGAGUGCAGGAGAGGUAAGUGGAAUUGCUGGGGUAGCGGUGAAAUGCAUAGAUAUUAGGAGGAACACCAGUGGCGAAGGCGGCUUACUGGACUGUAACUGACACUGAGGCUCGAAAGCGUGGGGAGCAAAUAGGAUUAGAUACCCUUGUAGUC
rnacentral:rRNA from 1 species